GAGCAUGAUGAAGACAUUUUUUAAGUAGCUCUUUAUAUCUUUCCCAUGAUUCAUAAAUAGAUUCAACAUCUAAUUAGUUAAAAUAUGUUGUCAUUUCUUAGCUU